ACCGGUACGACAUUGCUCACAUUGCUUCCAGUUUUCCGCCAGCACUGCUGGCGGUUUUUU
rnacentral:antisense_RNA from 1 species